GAUGAACGCUGGCGGCGUGCUUAACACAUGCAAGUCGAGCGAAGCACUUUUGCGGAUUUCUUCGGAUUGAAGCAAUUGUGACUGAGCGGCGGACGGGUGAGUAACGCGUGGGUAACCUGCCUCAUACAGGGGGAUAACAGUUGGAAACGGCUGCUAAUACCGCAUAAGCGCACAGUACCGCAUGGUACCGUGUGAAAAACUCCGGUGGUAUGAGAUGGACCCGCGUCUGAUUAGCUAGUUGGUGGGGUAACGGCCUACCAAGGCGACGAUCAGUAGCCGACCUGAGAGGGUGACCGGCCACAUUGGGACUGAGACACGGCCCAAACUCCUACGGGAGGCAGCAGUGGGGAAUAUUGCACAAUGGGGGAAACCCUGAUGCAGCGACGCCGCGUGAGCGAUGAAGUAUUUCGGUAUGUAAAGCUCUAUCAGCAGGGAAGAAAAUGACGGU
rnacentral:rRNA from 1 species